rnacentral:rRNA from 1 species
GAGUUUGAUCCUGGCUCAGAUUGAACGCUGGCGGCAUGCCUUACACAUGCAAGUCGAACGGCAGCAUGAUCUAGCUUGCUAGAUUGAUGGCGAGUGGCGAACGGGUGAGUAAUACAUCGGAACGUGCCCUGUAGUGGGGGAUAACUAGUCGAAAGAUUAGCUAAUACCGCAUACGACCUGAGGGUGAAAGUGGGGGACCGCAAGGCCUCAUGCUAUAGGAGCGGCCGAUGUCUGAUUAGCUAGUUGGUGGGGUAAAGGCCCACCGAGGCGACGAUCAGUAGCUGGUCUGAGAGGACGAUCAGCCACACUGGGACUGAGACACGGCCCAGACUCCUACGGGAGGCAGCAGUGGGGAAUUUUGGACAAUGGGCGAAAGCCUGAUCCAGCAAUGCCGCGUGUGUGAAGAAGGCCUUCGGGUUGUAAAGCACUUUUGUCCGGAAAGAAAUGGCUCUGGUUAAUACCUGGGGUCGAUGACGGUACCGGAAGAAUAAGGACCGGCUAACUACGUGCCAGCAGCCGCGGUAAUACGUAGGGUCCAAGCGUUAAUCGAUUACUGGGCGUAAGCGUGC